rnacentral:lncRNA from 1 species
UCGAUUGCAACUCCUCAUAAUGAUCUUGCGAUUUCCUCUCCAGAUCUUCGAUCUUCGACAUUGAUUUCUCCUCCAAUGCUCGAAUCGCCGCUCGAAACUCACUAUUCGUCUCCUGUUGCGACGAAGUAUGAUCGCGCAACGUCUUUGAGAGCAGCUCCAUCGUCACCGGUUCGUCUUCGCCCUGGCUACGCAACGCUUUCUUCAUCGUAUCUCUCUCCGUCGCCGUCGCGAUUGUUCGAUCCAGAGCGCUCACACAGCACCAAUUUGAUAGGAACUGGAUGUAUAUUUGACUAUAACCGCCCA